UAUUUCAAAUUUAUUGAUUUUAGUGGUCAAAAUGCAAAAUUUAUAAUUUCAGUGGUCGAAAUGUGAAUCGCCCAAGAGUUCUGAUUCCUUCUGUUCAUAUCGCCAUGGAAAUACAGUCUGCACGCAUCCAAAUUUUGUACAAGAACCUCAUUAAUAGAGAAGUUGCAAGGAAAUACAAUAAAAUAAAUUUUCCUGUUACGGAGUCAGCGACUCCAAAUGCACAAAUAAUCCAUUUUUCUGCUCUUUAUCAAUACUUUGGGUAAAAAAAGGACUAAUUAAUAUUGCUGAUUUUGACAACAUGUAUUUUACAUGUAUGUGCAUGUGCGCACAUGAUAGACUGGUGUAAGGUCCAUGCAAUAAAAGAAAACAUAUUACAGUGGAUCUGUCUUGAUAAAAAGUUGGUAAUUACAAAGCCUGGUAAUAAUUAGUGAACAUAUUUGUUAGUGUUCCACUAUGCAUUUACGUAGGUGCACACUGAAUGGGGCUGGUGCUUCUCCAGUUCGUCCACGUGAGUUACAUACAGCAUGGGCAAUGUCACACAAAUACUUAACACAAAUCUAACCUCUUGCUUUUCGUAAUCCUCUAACAAUGGUUCUGGCAACACCUCACAACUCCAGUCCUCAUCCUCAUCACGUACUCCACAUUACACCGCCCACCCUCUGCCUCAAUCACAACUCUUCCUUUCUACCACACAUUCUCACCUUCAUCAUCCAACUACAGAUACUCAACCAUACACCCUAUUACAUCUGUCACAAUCACAUCCUUCUCUUCCAAGUCAUUCUUCAUUAAGUCUUCCAACACCUGUUCUUUGCCAUACCAAUGAUGGUUGUAUCAGAAAGGUGUAUCAAUCUAUUUCACUUCUUUCAUUUCAAAUUUAUUAAUUUUAGUGGUCAAAAUACAAAAUUUAGAAUCAGCUCAAUAUACGUGUAUGUUUCAUUUUUCUCAAAAGUUGAAAUAGUCGACAAUUCGUUGAGCAGUUUGGAAUGUUUGCAUUGCACACUGUUUGGUACCAUGAUGGCAUGGACCUACAUGUAUAUGGAAAAGUCAAGCCAGAGUGUAACUCUAGUUUGGUAUUACUCUGGCAUGACUCAUUCGUAGGUCAGCGAGUUUCUCCAGCAGGCAUCGGUUUACGCCAGUAUCCAUACCAUAGAGAUUCUUCACAUAAGCUGCAGUAAAUAAAUCAAAUAAAUGAACAUACAAAUUAAAAAUUGUUCUAGGCACUUCAGCCUGACAAUUCUCAGUAAAUUUUAACUAGGCUAAUCUGAAAAAUGGAAGGCUCCGCAAUCUAAAUUGUGUAAAUACACAUUAGAAAAACAUACUUUAAAAGUUAAGUUAAAAGUGACAAUAAUUGUACAUUGUUUCUUUAGCUGCGUGCAAUGCUUUUAUAAUGCCAAAAAUUGGCACAAAAUCACAUAGGUCUGUCUAGCUUAGGGAUGUAGCAAUUCGCAAGAUUGACUGUUAAGACUUACUUUUGAUGUAACUGACACGGCGCGGGAAAAGAGCAGGUCGUGCCUCCUUCCCCCUGUUGGGGAUCCAGGGAGAAUUCCCUCAGUGUUGCUGUUCCAUACAGAUGCACUGCUAAGUUCUUAGUGAACAGCGUUGCCUUCUUUUUGACAUUGAUGCAUUCAAGAGGUCAUGUGUACCUUAGGCCACAUGUUGUGGCAACAAAAAAAGUUUGGAAGUAAAAUUGUACUAAUUGACGUACAUAUUGAUGACCUCUUUCCCUAUCUUCUUUUGACUUGGGCUGUUGUCUCUGCAAAGUCUUCAGUCUCUUCUGGGAAUAAUUGAAGCAAAGUGUCUUCAGAGUUCUCAAUCAAUCGGCCAUCAGAUACACAAUGGCUGCUGCCUCAUCACAACUCCAUGCAUUCAGGCGGUCAUGUGUCCCUUAGGUCACAUGUGGUGUUUUUGGUUGCUUUGAUGUACCAGGUAUUGGAGAGAAAUCCAUCAAGCGAGUCCAGAAUAAGCAAUCUUUAUAAAAGAGAAGGACAUGUUGAUAUAUUUUAGGGUUGGUUGGUCAGCUUACAUCUUCAUGCAAUGUAUGUUAUUGUUGGUUUCAUUGAUUGAAGUGGUAUGCAAAUGUAGUAAGUGAAAAUUAAUAAUAAAAGACUAUAUAACUCACGAUUUAGCUUUCUGCUGGACUACAAUGCCAACCCAGUGAUUUCUGUGGGGAAAAAAAGAAGCGGCACAGUUGUAUUGUUAAUGUUCAGAUACAAUUGACAACUUAAACACUAGAUCUAUGCAGUCAUUUUUUAACAAUGUAGGGAAAACACCAGGAAACAUACGAACUGCAUCCAAGAGAAUACAUGCAUCACAGAAGGAUGUUUGAAACAGUAUACACAAUCAAAAGUAUAUGUAGACAGGCCAGCAUGCAAGCCUGCAAGCUAGCAUUUUUUACAUCACAAAAUGUAGGGAUUAAGUGGACAAUCAAAUGAACAUCAAGCAAAUAUUUAAAAGCAACUAAACUAAGGUGUUUCCAUACAAGUCAUUGUCGGUUUACAAAACAUAGAAAUAAUAAUACAGAAAUUAAAAUACAGAAAUAUUCAAAAUACAGCAUUUCUUUUCACAAGUGGUACUUACAAAGUACAAACUGAUAAAAGUAGGUUGCCAGUCUGUUGGAUUCUUGAGGCAGUGAUGCCCACUGCUCGCAGAUGUUGCUUCAUCCUUGGGACAGCUUGGUGAUAUGGAAGUGUUUGCAGCCAGCUGUUUGGUUGCAAAAGCUGCCCAAUGAAGUAUGGCAGGACACCGGCAUCGGCAUUUUUAGUGUUCAUGAAGUGUCUGAAACACAAACACAGAAUUUGUGAUGUAAGACAUACUUCUAAUUGAAAUGAAAAUAUAAAUUAUCAAACUUAAUUAAAGACGCAUUUGUGAUAGAUCAUUGUUACAAGCACUUCAUACAAUACAAUUUUUUAUAUUUAUAGGUUUUUUCACAAGUGGUAGGCCCUACUUACGAAGUCUAAACUGGUAAAAGCAGGUUGCCAGUCUGUUGGAUUCUUGAGGCAGUGAUGCCCACUGCUCGCAGAUGUUGCUUCAUCCUUGGGAUAGCUUGGUGAUCCGGUAGUAUAUAUAGCCAGCUGUUAGGUUGCAAAAGCUGCCCAAUGAAGUAUGGUAGGAUGAAGGCAUCUGCCGCAUUUGUUGUCUUCAUGAAGUGUCUAAACACAAACCCAGAUAUUGUGAUGUAAGACAUACUUCUAAUGGAAAUGAGACUAUAAAUUAUCGAACUUAAUUAACUUAGAUGCAUUUUUAAUAGAUACUGUGUUUCAACCACUUCAUACAGGACAAUUUCUUAUAUUAACAAAGUACAAACUGGAAUCAGUAAGUUGCCGGUAUCUUGGAUGUGUGAUGCAGUGAUGCCUACAGCUCUUAAAUGCUCUUACAUCUGUGGAAUUGUUUGCUUACCUAGUAGUUUUGAUUGGGUACCAGUCUUAGAUUUACCUUCGUUGUGCCAAUGUCGUCUAUGAACUUUACAGACAUCUUGUUUGUUGCCUUGUAUGACGGUCUGUGGAACCCGUGGAGGCCACUGUCCCACACCGUUUUCCUGUUGAUGUUGAAUUUGGAAAUGUCAGCAGUCAUUUUAAAAUCUUGUUGUGAAGAAGUGCUUAAAUAUUCUACUUUGCUUGGGUUGUCUCUAAAAAGUCUUUAGUCCCUUCUGCUUAACUGAAACAAAGAUGUCUUCGGUUCUCAAUCAAUCAGGCCCUCAGAUACACAAUGGCUGCUGCCUCAUCACAACUCGAUGCAUUCAGGCGGUCAUGUGUCCCUUAGGUCACAUGUGGUGUUUUUGGUUGCUUUGAUGUACCAGGUAUUGGAGAGAAAUCCAUCAAGCGAGUCCAGAAUAAGCAAUCUUUAUAAAAGAGAAGAACAUGUUGAUAUAUUUUAGGGUUGGUUGGUCAGCUUACAUCUUCAUGCAAUGUAUGUUAUUGUUGCCAGUCUGUUGGAUUCUUGAGGCAGUGAUGCCCACUGCUCGCAGAUGUUGCUUCAUCCUUGGGACAGCUUGGUGAUAUGGAAGUGUUUGCAGCCAGCUGUUUGGUUGCAAAAGCUGCCCAAUGAAGUGUGGCAGGACACCGGCAUCGGCAUUUUUAGUGUUCAUGAAGUGUCUGAAACACAAACACAGAAUUUGUGAUGUAAGACAUACUUCUAAUUGAAAUGAAAAUAUAAAUUAUGAAACUUAAUUAAAGACGCAUUUGUGAUAGAUCAUUGUUACAAGCACUUCAUACAGGACAAUUUUUUAUAUUUAUAGGUUUUUUUCAAAAGUGGUAGGCCCUACUUACGAAGUAUAAACUGGUAAAAGUAGGUUGCCAGUGUGUUGGAUCCGUGAGGCAGUGAUGCCUACUGCACGUAGAUGUUCCUUCAUCCUUGGGAUAGCUUGGUGAUCCGGUAGUAUAUAUAGCCAGCUGUUAGGUUGCAAAAGCUGCCCAAUGAAGUAUGGCAGGAUGAAGGCAUCUGCCGCAUUUGUUGUCUUCAUGAAGUGUCUAAACACAAACCCAGAUAUUGUGAUGUAAGACAUACUUCUAAUGGAAAUGAGACUAUAAAUUAUCGAACUUAAUUAACUUAGAAGCAUUUUUAAUAGAUACUGUGUUUCAAGCACUUCAUACAGGACAAUUUCUUAUAUUUACGAAGUACAAACGGGAAUCAGUAAGUUGCUGGUAUCUUGGAUGUGUGAUGCAGUGAUGCCUACAGCUCUUAAAUGCUCUUACAUCUGUGGAAUUGUUUGCUUACCUAGUAGUCUUAAGUGGGUACCAGUCUUAGAUUUACCUCCGUUGUGCCAAUGUCUUCUAUGAACUUUACAGACAUCUUGUUUGUUGCCUUGUAUGACGGUCUGUGGAACCCGCGGAGGCCACUGUCCCACACCGUUUUCCUGUUGAUGUUGAAUUUGGAGAUUUCAGCAGUCAUUUUAAAAUCUUGUUGUGAAGAAGUGCUUAAAUAUUCUACUUUUUCUUCCCUCUUUACACAAAGAGAGAGUUACAUACUAUUUCCCUCGCCCAAUUUAUUUCGGCAUCAACUCUGAAUUUCACGAACAUUUCAUUGUUCCUUGCUCUUAGAGUGCCAACAUAAAAGUUUGGAAGUAAAUAUUGUACUCAUUUAAUACAAAUGUACAUGUACAUGCAUUGUGAGGACUUCUUCCCUAUCUUCUUUUGACUUGGGCUGUUGUCUCUAAAAAGUCUUCAGUCUCUUCUGGGAAUAAUUGAAGCAAAAAUAUCUUCAGAGUUCUCAAUCAAUCGGCCCUCAGAUACACAAUGGCUGCUGCCUCAUCACAACUCGAUGCAUUCAGGCGGUCAUGUGUACCCUAGGCCGCAUGCUGUGUUGUUAGUUGCUUUGAUGUACCAGGUAUUGGUUAACUUUCUCACAUUGUGCCCAAUAUCUGGUACUGGAUAAGCCUUUUACAGUCUUACAGUGAGUCCUGACUUUGCAACUGAUAAAAAAAACAUAGAUAACAGACACAGGUUUCACACUGGAAACAUUCUAACAAAAUGGACAUCAAGAUGUACAUGUACAAUCUUGGUGACUUGAUUUCACAAUGAGAAAUUUAAAAAGAAGUCAAAGUUUAACUCUUAACCAUGAACUCUCUGAGAUUUUAUUCCGAGGGUAACAUGACUAUAGUGAACAAGAAUCCCUGUGUAAAUUAUUUCCUUUCUGCCAGCGUUUGUUGCUCAACUGUUGUCUGGUCCUGAUUGUCUAGUCUCUUCAAGACCAGUGCUUGAUACUGUGUCUCUAGACGCAGCAUCAGCAACCUUCUUCUAACUCUAGGCAUCUUAUGUUGGCAUCAUUUCUUAUUGAGUACUUCUCUUUUUUCUGUCUUCUUAUUCAGCCACUUUAUAUUACACCUUUUACACCCUGAUGACAAAAGUUGAGUACAGAGGCACUGAGGGCUCAGUGGUGUCAAUUCUUCAAAUCAUUAGUCACUGGUUUAAUACAUUCAAUGCCACACAUUAUAUUUAAGGGUUGAUUUCAUUGUGAUUUUGAAGUAAUAAUACUAGGGACCCUACAUCAUUAAAAAAAACCUCGAAACCUGUUGUGUUUCAAUUGAAAGUAGAAGUAAAUCUUAAAGCUCAUGGCUGUUUGAAUUUUGGAAACGGACAAGGGGUUGAUGAGAUAUUGUUUUGAAGGUUCUUUCCAAAGGUACCUUUGGAUCACCUUUGUGUGGGAAAACUUUGACAAAAAUUGGGGUGGCUUUGACUUUUUUUAUUGCCAGGAAUACCCCGAUCUAUCCCGAAUAAAAAUUCUUGAUGAUAUCAGGAGAAAUUAUCCCCAAUUCGCUGUUUGUAAGAAUAACUUAAGAAUGAAACAAAAAUAAUCAAGAACUAGGUACGAAUUGGAAGCCGAAUCAGACCAAAUAAGCCAAAUUAUUGCGAUUCAGUGCAGAAUAAAAUUUAUUUAGUGCGAUUUUGUCAAAAAUAAGACACGAAAAAACUCCAGAAUCAUCAAGAAUGACCCAGAAUUAUGCCGAUGUAGUGUAUUUGUAAGCUAUUCUUAUAAUAUUUGUACAUUUCUUGCAACAUUCGUAAUGACUAUGCAUGAUUUUGGAAUCACAAAGAAUAACAGUAACUCUAAUAAAGUUGUAAGAAUACUGUACGAAUAUUUAGAGUGCUGUAAGAAUAUCCAGAAUUACAUUUAGGAUUGAACACAACAAGAAUAAACCAAGAAUUGAAAUUGGUUCCCGAAUCACCCCGAGAAUUGUGAACAUGUCCAAAAUUGUCGGGGCGCUUCCCGAUCUUUAACAAUCUUUCACGGAACUAACAGAAUCAUCCCGAAGCAGCCAAGAACCAUUGCCCGAUUUUUACUCAAGAAUUGCUAUUGGCGGCGAUCUUGCUUAAACAUGUGCACCUGGUGCAGACCCCUGUUUAGGUGUAAAAUAUUUGAUUCAGGCAGUCUGAAAUUGGGACACAAAGCCUGAGAUAUGCCCUUGUUCAAAUGAUAAGAUAUCGAAUUGGGCACUUUGUGAUUGUGAUCACUUGUUAAUACAUGGAAACAGCAAUAAAUAACAAUAUUAGAAAACCAUGGAGCAGGCACUUUUCAUUUGAUAAGUAAAGUUUGUAUUACAGAGUUGUGUUCAAAAAUGUUACAUAUUAAGACUUCGGUGAAACUAUUACACACUCAGUAUAUUCCAAAUUAUGAUAAAUUUGUUUACUACUUUCUGUUAUGUAAACUGAGUUUUAAAUGAGUAAUCAAAAUAAAAUUGCCAAUUGCCAAUGCUCAUUAA